rnacentral:rRNA from 1 species
GUGUCAGCCGCCGCGGUAAUACGGAGGAUCCAAGCGUUAUCCGGAAUCAUUGGGUUUAAAGGGUCCGUAGGCGGUUAGAUAAGUCAGUGGUGAAAGCCCAUCGCUCAACGGUGGAACGGCCAUUGAUACUGUUUAACUUGAAUUAUUAGGAAGUAACUAGAAUAUGUAGUGUAGCGGUGAAAUGCUUAGAGAUUACAUGGAAUACCAAUUGCGAAGGCAGGUUACUACUAAUGGAUUGACGCUGAUGGACGAAAGCGUGGGUAGCGAACAGGAUUAGAUACCCUGGUAGUCCACGCCGUAAACGAUGGAUACUAGCUGUUGGGAGCAAUCUCAGUGGCUAAGCGAAAGUGAUAAGUAUCCCACCUGGGGAGUACGUUCGCAAGAAUGAAACUUAAAGGAAUUGACGG